AGUGUGAAUUAACACACAUGCAAACAAGUGUAAGGCGUAGCAAUACGACCGAUGCCGGAGCAGGACAGUAUGACAACGUGCCACUGAUCAUGUGCCUAAGAUC
rnacentral:ncRNA from 1 species